UGCUCCGGGUAAUGGGCAAAGAGAUACCUUGCUGAUGGUGUUGUCUUUCUCUUAUAUCAGUCAGGGCCAGAGCAGAUGGCCUCCUUUGUUCACCCUAGCCUGAUGCCUGGCUUGGUAGCCAAAACUGUUUUAUGCCUAGGACUCAGAA